AGAUAGCUGGUUCUCCCCGAAAGCUAUUUAGGUAGCGCCUCGUGAACUCAUCUCCGGGGGUAGAGCACUGUUUCGGCUAGGGGGCCAUCCCGGCUUACCAACCCGAUGCAAACUGCGAAUACCGGAGAAUGUUAUCACGGGAGACACACGGCGGGUGCUAACGUCCGUCGUGAAGAGGGAAACAACCCAGACCGCCAGCUAAGGUCCCAAAGUCAUGGUUAAGUGGGAAACGAUGUGGGAAGGCCCAGACAGCCAGGAUGUUGGCUUAGAAGCAGCCAUCAUUUAAAGAAAGCGUAAUAGCUCACUGGUCGAGUCGGCCUGCGCGGAAGAUGUAACGGGGCUAAACCAUG
rnacentral:rRNA from 1 species